rnacentral:rRNA from 1 species
GAUGAACGCUGGCGGCGUGCCUAAUACAUGCAAGUCGAGCGAACGGACGAGAAGCUUGCUUCUCUGAUGUUAGCGGCGGACGGGUGAGUAACACGUGGAUAACCUACCUAUAAGACUGGGAUAACUUCGGGAAACCGGAGCUAAUACCGGAUGAUAUUUUGAACCGCAUGGUUCAAAAGUGAAAGACGGUCUUGCUGUCACUUAUAGAUGUAUCCGCGCUGCAUUAGCUAGUUGGUAAGGUAACGGCUUACCAAGGCAACGAUGCAUAGCCGACCUGAGAGGGUGAUCGGCCACACUGGAACUGAGACACGGUCCAGACUCCUGCGGGAGGCAGCAGUAGGGAAUCUUCCGCAAUGGGCGAAAGCCUGACGGAGCAACGCCGCGUGAGUGAUGAAGGUCUUCGGAUCGUAAAACUCUGUUAUUAGGGAAGAACAUAUGUGCAAGUAACUGUGCACAUCUUGACGGUACCUAAUCAGAAAGCCACGGCUAACUACGUG